rnacentral:rRNA from 1 species
AUUGAACGCUGGCGGCAGGCCUAACACAUGCAAGUCGAGCGGUAGAGAGAAGCUUGCUUCUCUUGAGAGCGGCGGACGGGUGAGUAAUGCCUAGGAAUCUGCCUAGUGGUGGGGGAUAACGUUCGGAAACGGACGCUAAUACCGCAUACGUCCUACGGGAGAAAGCGGGGGAUCUUCGGACCUCGCGCCAUUAGAUGAGCCUAGGUCGGAUUAGCUAGUUGGUGAGGUAAUGGCUCACCAAGGCGACGAUCCGUAACUGGUCUGAGAGGAUGAUCAGUCACACUGGAACUGAGACACGGUCCAGACUCCUACGGGAGGCAGCAGUGGGGAAUAUUGGACAAUGGGCGAAAGCCUGAUCCAGCCAUGCCGCGUGUGUGAAGAAGGUCUUCGGAUUGUAAAGCACUUUAAGUUGGGAGGAAGGGUAGUAACCUAAUACGUUGCUACUUUGACGUUACCGACAGAAUAAGCACCGGCUAACUUCGUGCCAGCAGCCGCCGUAACAC